CUACGGGAGGCAGCAGUGGGGAAUAUUGGACACUGGGGGAAACCCUGAUCCAGCCAUGCCGCGUGAGUGAAGAAGGCCUUAGGGUUGUAAAGCUCUUUCACCUGCGACGAUGAUGACGGUAGCAGGAGAAGAAGCCCCGGCUAACUCCGUGCCAGCAGCCGCGGUAAUACGGAGGGGGCUAGCGUUGUUCGGAAUCACUGGGCGUAAAGCGCGCGUAGGCGGCGGAUCAAGUUAGGCGUGAAAGGCCUGGGCUCAACCUGGGAACUGCGCUUGAUACUGGUUUGCUGGAGUCCGGGAGAGGGUGGUGGAAUUCCAAGUGUAGAGGUGAAAUUCGUAGAUAUUUGGAGGAACACCGGUGGCGAAGGCGGCCACCUGGCCCGGCACUGACGCUGAGGCGCGAAAGCGUGGGGAGCAAACAGGAUUAGAAACCCCAGUAGUCC
rnacentral:rRNA from 1 species